GCAGUGUUGGUGACUUGACCU
rnacentral:siRNA from 1 species